AUGUGAUGCAAUGCUUUAAAAACCUCAAACAACACAAUCAUUAUUUUUUGUUCAGCAGCUUUUUACCUCUAUUAUGAUGGGGGAAGUGCUAUAUCUUGAAAUGUCAGAGCCUUGAAAGGGGGCUAUCCUGUAUAUUUCAGCUUAUAGGUAAUAGCUGUUUCAGGAAGGCUCAGAGUCAGCAUGACUCAGCACAGAGCUCAAUGUUGGGGGUAAGAAAGCGGAUCAACAUGGAGUCAGCAUUUAGGGAGUAUCGGUGAGACCUACCUCCUUCUAAGCCAAAAACUACCUAGCACCCGAAAAAAUUUGUCCGGUUCCUCCUGGAUUAAAGAGAACAGGAUUUAACUUUGUAGAAUCAAAUUAUGGGAAGACAGUCCUGCAGUUUGGAAAAUUAAGCAAUUUACAGUGUGAAAUAUAAAAUAACUUUCAUGAAAGAGCAUAGCACCUAUGUAUGUGUUAAUAAAAGGAGAAAGAUUGACUUUCUGUGUAACCACCAAACAACUCAAGAAAUGGAGCAUUACCAACACCUGAACCCCCAUCCCACCCCUCCUAUGUGUCCUUAUGGAAUUGCAAUCCUCUUCCUGCAACCAAAGGGCAAUCACCAUUGUAACUUCAUGGAAAUAGUCACAUGGAUGGACACCGCUGCAGACCGCCUGGGUGCUCCACUCCCACUGCAGUUGCUGUUCUUUGUGAAAAUCUUGGAGUCCCUGGAAAAUCUACGAGUUCAGAAUUAGGAUGGUGUUAAAGGAACUGACCUGGGAAAAGAAAGUAGAUCCACCAAGUUAGAGAUUUAUUUAGACAAGAAAACAUUAUAUUUUAAGGAAGCAGCUGGCUCUUGGACAGUUAGGGCAUCAUCUGUAUGUAUACAAAAAGGGAUAUAUUUUUCCUAAUUCAACAUGAGUUCAAAUCUGUUUCCACCACAUAGACGAUAUGUGAUAAUGAGUGAUUUUACUCACCUGAGAAUUCUUCUUCUUUUGUAAAGCCAGGAUGAUAAAAGUUUUUAAAAAAUUUAGACGUACUCACACGCUAUUUCACUCCCAUGCUUCUAAUAACAAUUUUGCUCAAGUUAUAGUAUAAAUA
ensembl:lncRNA